rnacentral:rRNA from 1 species
CAGUAGCCGCGGUAAGACAGAGGAUGCAAGCGUUACUCGGAAUUACUGGGCGUAAAGCGUGCGUAGGUGGUGGUUUAAGUCCGUUGUGAAAGCCCUGGGCUCAACCUGGGAAUUGCAGUGGAUACUGGGUCACUAGAGUGUGGUAGAGGAUAGUGGAAUUUCCGGUGUAGCAGUGAAAUGCGUAGAGAUCGGAAGGAACAUCUGUGGCGAAGGCGACUAUCUGGGCCAACACUGACACUGAGGCACGAAAGCGUGGGGAGCAAACAGGAUUAGAUACCCGCGUAGUCCCUGUCUCUUAUAA